UCUCCGUUGGUGAACCAGCGGAGGGAUCAUUACAGAGUUGAAAAACUCCAACCCCUGUGAACAUACCUUUACUGUUGCUUCGGCGGACGAUGGUUCCCCCCGGGGGGCCGGACGCCGCCGGAGGUUACAAACCCUGAAUUUUAGUGUAUCUCUGAGUACAAAACCAAAUAAUUAAAACUUUCAACAACGGAUCUCUUGGUUCUGGCAUCGAUGAAGAACGCAGCGAAAUGCGAUAAGUAAUGUGAAUUGCAGAAUUCAGUGAAUCAUCGAAUCUUUGAACGCACAUUGCGCCCGCCGGUAUUCCGGCGGGCAUGCCUGUCCGAGCGUCAUUUCACCACUCAAGCCCAGCUUGGUGUUGGGGCACCCGGCCGCCCGGCGGUCGGGGCCCCCAAGAACAUCGGCGGUCUCGCUAGGACCCUGAACGCAGUAACUCGCGGUAAAACGCGCUUCGUUCGGUGGCUUCCCGGCGGGCUCCAGCCGCUAAACCCCCUAAACUUUUUAGGUUGACCUCGGAUCAGGUAGGAAUACCCGCUGAACUUAA
rnacentral:rRNA from 1 species